ACCGCGUACAACAUGACAUGCCUA
rnacentral:siRNA from 1 species